CUGCGAUUUCCGAAUGGGGAAACCCAACUGCAUAAGCAGUUACUGUUAACUGAAUACAUAGGUUAACAGAGCAAACCGGGGGAACUGAAACAUCUAAGUACCCCGAGGAGAAGAAAUCAACCGAGAUUCCGGUAGUAGCGGCGAGCGAACCUGGAUUAGCCCUUAAGCACUCGGUGAAGUAGGUGAACAAGCUGGAAAGCUUGGCGAUACAGGGUGAUAGCCCCGUAACCGACGCUUCAUCGAGCGUGAAAUCG
rnacentral:rRNA from 1 species